UACGUAGGGGGCAAGCGUUGUCCGGAUUUAUUGGGCGUAAAGAGCGUGUAGGCGGCCAUACAGGUCCGUUGUGAAAACUCGAGGCUCAACCUCGAGACGUCGAUGGAAACCGUAUGGCUAGAGUCCGGAAGAGGAGAGUGGAAUUCCUGGUGUAGCGGUGAAAUGCGCAGAUAUCAGGAAGAACACCCGUGGCUAAGGCGGCUCUCUAGUACGGUACUGACGCUGAGACGCGAAAGCGUGGGGAGCGAACAGG
rnacentral:rRNA from 1 species